CCAGGGGGCUGGACGGUCGCCGGUCUCUUUCGGGAGGCGGGAGGAAAGUCCGGACUCCGCAGGGCAGGGUGCCGGUUAAUGGCCGGGCGGCGUGAGCCGACGGACAGUGCAACAGAAACAUACCGCCGGGCCGCCUUCGGGCAGCCCGGUAAGGGCGAAAUGGUGCGGUAAGAGCGCACCGGCGUCGUGGUAACACGGCGGCCGUGCAAACCCCACCCGGAGCAAGGCCAAAUAGGGGGACAUACGGGCGGCCCGUCCUGUCCCCGGGUAGGUUGCUGGAGGCGGCGGGUAACCGCCGUCCUAGAUGGAUGGCCGUCGCCGCGUCCCGGUUGGGCUCGGGACGCGGUACAGAAUCCGGCUUACAGGCCCCCUGGCGCC
rnacentral:RNase_P_RNA from 1 species